AGGUCAGUGGUAGAGCGCAUGCUUAGCAUGCAUGAGGUCCUGGGUUCAAUCCCCAG
rnacentral:tRNA from 1 species